AUUGAACGCUGGCGGCAGGCCUAACACAUGCAAGUCGAGCGGAUGAAGGGAGCUUGCUCCUGGAUUCAGCGGCGGACGGGUGAGUAAUGCCUAGGAAUCUGCCUGGUCGUGGGGGAUAACGUCCGGAAACGGGCGCUAAUACCGCAUACGUCCUGAGGGAGAAAGUGGGGGAUCUUCGGACCUCACGCUAUCAGAUGAGCCUAGGUCGGAUUAGCUAGUUGGUGGGGUAAAGGCCUACCAAGGCGACGAUCCGUAACUGGUCUGAGAGGAUGAUCAGUCACACUGGAACUGAGACACGGUCCAGACUCCUACGGGAGGCAGCAGUGGGGAAUAUUAGACAAUGGGCGAAAGCCUGAUCCAGCCAUGCCGCGUGUGUGAAGAAGGUCUUCGGAUUGUAAAGCACUUUAAGUUGGGAGGAAGGGCAGUAAGUUAAUACCUUGCUGUUUUGACGUUACCAACAGAAUAAGCACCGGCUAACUUCGUG
rnacentral:rRNA from 1 species